CCAACUGUGACAAUCACAAAAGCCAGUAGGAAUAACCCAUUAAGUUCCUUCUACAGUUAAGUUUUUGGGAAAUAAAUAGAAUGGCCCACAGAAAGUAAGAUAUUCCUUAAGCUCUGUUUUUAGACUACUGUUAGAUGUCUUACGUUUGAUUUCAUGACUCUUUUUUAACCAUACAGCCAAUUUAGAAGACUGAGAAGAGUUUGGCUACAGCACAUCUCAUAAAUGAUGCUCCAGAUAACACGUGAUUCUGAAAGAUACCAUAUGAAGCAUAUCACACAAUUAUUGCACUCCAUUCAUCACGGCUGACUUCAACUGCUGGGUUUGGAAACCAAGCAAGGAUCAGAUUUUAAAUGGAUGCCUCUUUCACCUAAACUCUGGAGGAAGCCCCUCAAAAUACUUUUAUGGAAAAAACUUGAAUCUUCAAGAUCCUACUCCACAUAACAGACCCUUGUUCUUGGAUGCUUUGGCCUGAGAUCAUGAGGUUGCUCCUGAACUCAGUCCACUUCCACGCUAUGGAAAUAAUUGUAGGGCACCAUACCAGAAUCCUGAAGAACUGCUGCAAAAGCCAAUUCUGUCUGCCUCUUGUCUCCCUUUUGCCCGUGAGCCUUUCUACUUAAUAAAUCUGCAAAAUAUAUUACUCACAGUGGUUUGGAUCCUGCUGUCCUAAAGUUGGGUUCUAUAUGAGCUGCUGUACUUCUGAGCUAAAAACUUUCUUCUCUUUGCCAUCUUUCACCCUGUGCUUUCCCAGAC
rnacentral:lncRNA from 1 species